rnacentral:rRNA from 1 species
GAUGAACGCUGGCGGCGUGCCUAACACAUGCAAGUCGAGCGAACAGAUCAGGAGUUUGCUCCCCUGACGUUAGCGGCGGAGGGGAGAGUAACACGUGGUUAACCUACCUAUACGACUGGGAUAAUUUUGGGAAACCGGGUCUACUACCGGAUAAUUUAUUGAACUGCAUGGUUCACUCGUGAAAGUCGGUUUUGCUGUCGCUAAUAGCUGGCUCCGGGCCGCAUUAGCUGGUUGGUAAGGUAACGGAUUACCAAGGCUACGAUGCGUAGCCGACCUAAAAGGGAGAUCGGCCAGACUGGAUGAGAGACUGGGUCCAGACACCUAGAGGGAGAAGCAGCAGGGACUCUUACGCGAUGGAGGAGAGCGUGACAGUGCAACACCGCGUGAGGGAUGAAGGUGUUCGGAUCGGAGAGCUCUGUUAUUAGGAAAGAACAAAUGUGUAAGUAACUGUGCACGUAAUGACGGUACCUGAAGAGAAAGCCACGGCUAACUACGUG